rnacentral:rRNA from 1 species
AGAGAUAGAGCCUUCCCCUUCGGGGGACAAAGUGACAGGUGGUGCAUGGUUGUCGUCAGCUCGUGUCGUGAGAUGUUGGGUUAAGUCCCGCAACGAGCGCAACCCUUAAGCUUAGUUGCCAUCAUUAAGUUGGGCACUCUAGGUUGACUGCCGGUGACAAACCGGAGGAAGGUGGGGAUGACGUCAAAUCAUCAUGCCCCUUAUGAUUUGGGCUACACACGUGCUACAAUGGACAAUACAAAGGGCAGCUAAACCGCGAGGUCAUGCAAAUCCCAUAAAGUUGUUCUCAGUUCGGAUUGUAGUCUGCAACUCGACUACAUGAAGCUGGAAUCGCUAGUAAUCGUAGAUCAGCAUGCUACGGUGAAUACGUUCCCGGGUCUUGUACACACCGCCCGUCACACCACGAGAGUUUGUAACACCCGAAGCCGGUGGAGUAACCAUUUAUGGAGCUAGCCGUCGAAGGUGGGACAAAUGAUUGGGGUGAAGUCGUAACAAGGUAGCCGUAUCGGAA